GAUGCAGAUGGGCAGAGGAGGCGCUUGGCCCAGAGAGUGUCCCCAAGUGGCCCCCACCAGCCAGGGUAGGGAGAAGACCAAUUCACCAGAAGCACCAUCCCGGCCACCUCCUUGUCCACUCUUAAAUUCUGUUUGGGGACUAGAGAAAGACACACCUAGUGCAAGAAACUACCAUGGGGCUAACACACUAAAGGCCAGUUGACAAAAUCUCGCUGCUGCUGCUGCUGCUGCUGCUGCUGUUUUUUUUUAAUCUCCCAGGAUCUCAGGCUACCAGAGCUUUUCCAAAACAGACAGACCUGGCAGCGAUGCCUACCAGCUUUUGCUCAAGCUGUCUUCUUCCUAGAAUGGACUUAUCUGACUUCUCCACCAGAAUUACAAGCCUUGGGAGAGUUAGGAUCUUGUCUGCAUCCCCGGCUGUGAGCACAGUGCCUGGUACUUGGAAGAUAAGGAAAUCAAGGCUCAGAGAAGGAAAGUAUCAAACAAUUAAAACACCGGCCUCUUCUUAUUAAUCCUGCAUUUCAAAAGCUUGUAAAUCCUGUGCAGCCGGAGGAGAUAAAAGCCGGCUCAUCCCCAUCCCAGGGCUGACACGCUUGCAGUGACACAGGGUGGCUCAGCGGCCAGGCCUGUGUGCGCACACGCGUGUGCCUGGGGCCCACCCACCAGCCACCAGCCGGCGUCAGAGCCAGGAGAGAGGAGCACAGCUGCAGAUGAGGAAACCAAGGCUCAGAGAGGUUAAGUGAUUUGUUCGAGAUCACACAGCUGUCAAGACGCAACCUCAGGACUUGACGAGCGCAUUAUGUUUUCCCAUAGGAUUCUGUCUUCCUUGACUCCUCUUGCUUCUCAGGGGAAUGAAGACCCCAGGAUAGUGGUAGUGCCUGGUUUCUGUGGAGGCUUGGGGAUGAACUGAGAGGAUGUCUGCGAAGUGUCUGCCACAGUCAGCCAUGAAGGUGGCGAAGAGGAAGAGGAGGGGACGAUGAUGCUGACGAUGUGUCACAGAGAGAGAGAGAGGCGAGCAGAGACAAAGGCAGAGGGAGAAGCAGGC